CACGUUUGUUAACUUAUUUCCUAUUUCUCAAGAUGUCUCUGUUUCUAGCAAUUCACGUGCAGCUGGAGAGGGGGAAUAUUUCUCACAGCCUUGGAGCCAGCCAGCUCAUUCCUCUCCAGGAUGUUGUUGCCUCUCGCACAUGGUAUUCAAGGCGCUUACUUAUUAUUUCCUAAACUCUUCAUUGCACCCAACUGCAGUGAAUUCAGGGCAGGAGACAAAACUCCUUCAGGGGUUAUUAACGGUUCGAGUGGAAAGAGUGAUCCCACUUGCCAAAAAGGACAGGCAAGGACACCCCCUCAGGCCGGAUUAUGGUGGAAAGAAUUUAGCACUUGUUGAGCGGAGACCUGGCUCCUGGGAACUCUUCUCGGCUGUGUGACCUUUGAUGAGACUCUUAACCUCUCUGAGCCUUGGUCCUUUGUUUGAGGCUGUGUUUACUUUCAGCCUGUUCCACUUUUUUUUUUCAUGGUAAACCUUUCCACUUUUAAGAUGAAAUCCUUAGCAGACUUUGCUCUAGCAUCAGCUUGUCCUAAUUUUUAUGCUUUGGAUUAUUAGCAAACAUUAUGGUCCUUAGAAACUGUACUGCAGAUAUCCGGGAAGGCCAGAUGUUUUUGGAAGGUAUAAACCGAAGUGUAAGGAAGGUGCCAUCCUUCAGGUCCUGGAAUCAGAAUGUGAGAAGAGAGAUGGGGGAGUGCAUCUCAGGACGAGAAAAGGGAAGGGAGGCAGCUGCAGAGAGCAAGUUGCCUCGUUCACGGCUUGCCUAGAGCCAGCUCUGUUAGCAAUAACCCCCCAACUAGAAGACCUUUAAAAAUUCCUUUGGCUUCCAACAUCUGGUUGAGCCAACUGCACUGCAACACAGAGUCUGCUUGAUGAGGCUGCCCUAAGCCCCCCGCUUUUCUCUGUCAGCUCCCUUACCGGUCUGGCUUUGUAAAAGCUCUUUGGGGGUGUUCAACUAGCUAGUGACAGAUCUGGAGAUUUCACCACUUUUAGGGCCCGUGCUUUGCUUGGCGGGAUAAAGAGAUCCUUCUGCUGUCACUCAUCUGAUCCAACUUGUCUUCCGACCGUCACAUCCCCCAGGUCACAAUGAAAAGGCGGAUUAGCCUGAUUCUGGAGGCCCGUCAGCUUGAUGCUCUUGGUUAAAUGACACCCGCUACGAACCACAGAGCGGAGCUUUGCGGGCAUGGCGUAACAAAGGGUGCCAUGUCCCUACCUGGGAUCUGAACUGGCGAACCCUGGGCCGCCGAAGCGGAACCUGUGUGCUUAACCGCUGCACCACCGGGCCAGGCCCCUUCUGGAAGUUCUUUGUGGAAGUUUUUUUCUAGCUCUUUCCCUUUUUCUCUUAUUACAUUCACACCCCAAGUUUGUCGGAAGACGGCGCUCUCGAGGAUGGAGGAACUCCUGGACCUCCACUUCCAACUCGUCUCUGGAGGUUUGUCUUCUCUCACGGGGCUGUUUACAGCUGUCGGCACCCACCAGCCCCGCCCCUGGGCUCUGCUCCUUGAUUGCCACCAGGAGACACAGCUCUUCCCCUAAAGCAGAGCUGAGACCAGGCUGGUGUGAUUUAGAUCUCGCCGCAGGUUUGCAGGGGACCAUGAAGGGGCUUACAUACAGAGUUACUCACUCUGGGUGGCCAGCUGUGACUGCAGCUGGAGCAGCUGUUUCUGGUGUCUCUUUGCAGCCCUUGGCUGGCAGCCCUAGUCAAAGACAAUUUCUCGCAUCUCCUAACCCAGGCGCACCCCCAGAGUCUCCGCAUUACUUAGAGUCCAGCCCAAGAGAGCAACGUGCACAAAGAAGAACAACGUCCCUGCCUCUUAUCUCAGACCUGCCUACAGAGUUUUAAUAAGGUCCUGUUCUAGGACUACGUACACUCUACACCGCCACUCAGAGCAGUGCGGUCUCACGCUGUGGUCUGAUGAGGGAAUCUAGUCAGAACACAGUUACCCAAUGGCCUCCCUCGUGGACAUUUGCAAGAAACCUUCCGCCACAGCUUCGUGAUGUCCUGUCCUGCCCCUCAGGGCGCUCACACAUCAGCUUGAGCCGCUUGUUAAAUGCAGAUUGCUAAGGUUUUUGCUCCUG
rnacentral:lncRNA from 1 species